GCAAGGCACAAUGACAUAUGCCUGUAGUUCCAGCUACUUGAGAAGCUAUGACAGGAGAAUUGCUAAAGCUCAGGAGUUUGGUGUCAGCCCAGGCAAUAUAGUGAGACCCUGUCUCUU
rnacentral:sRNA from 1 species